AAGAGCGGCGGACGGGUGAGUAACGCGUGGGUAACCUGCCCUGUACACACGGAUAACAUACCGAAAGGUAUGCUAAUACGAGAUAAUAUACUUUUAUCGCAUGGUAGAAAUAUCAAAGCUUUUGCGGUACAGGAUGGACCCGCGUCUGAUUAGCUAGUUGGUAAGGUAACGGCUUACCAAGGCGACGAUCAGUAGCCGACCUGAGAGGGUGAUCGGCCACAUUGGAACUGAGACACGGUCCAAACUCCUACGGGAGGCAGCAGUGGGGAAUAUUGCACAAUGGGCGAAAGCCUGAUGCAGCAACGCCGCGUGAGCGAUGAAGGCCUUCGGGUCGUAAAGCUCUGUCCUCAAGGAAGAUAAUGACGGUACUUGAGGAGGAAGCCCCGGCUAACUACGUGCCAGCAGCCGCGGUAAUACGUAGGGGGCUAGCGUUAUCCGGAAUUACUGGGCGUAAAGGGUGCGUAGGUGGUUUCUUAAGUCAGAGGUGAAAGGCUACGGCUCAACCGUAGUAAGCCUUUGAAACUGGGAAACUUGAGUGCAGGAGAGGAGAGUGGAAUUCCUAGUGUAGCGGUGAAAUGCGUAGAUAUUAGGAGGAACACCAGUUGCGA
rnacentral:rRNA from 1 species